UGAUUUAGUUAGCACUUUGUACUUGCC
rnacentral:piRNA from 1 species